rnacentral:rRNA from 1 species
AGAGUUUGAUCAUGGCUCAGGACGAACGCUGGCGGCGUGCCUAAUACAUGCAAGUAGAACGCUGAAGGGGGGAGCUUGCUCUUCUUGGAUGAGUUGCGAACGGGUGAGUAACGCGUAGGUAACCUGCCUUGUAGCGGGGGAUAACUAUUGGAAACGAUAGCUAAUACCGCAUAACAAUGGAUGACACAUGUCAUUUAUUUGAAAGGGGCAAUUGCUCCACUACAAGAUGGACCUGCGUUGUAUUAGCUAGUAGGUGAGGUAAUGGCUCACCUAGGCGACGAUACAUAGCCGACCUGAGAGGGUGAUCGGCCACACUGGGACUGAGACACGGCCCAGACUCCUACGGGAGGCAGCAGUAGGGAAUCUUCGGCAAUGGGGGCAACCCUGACCGAGCAACGCCGCGUGAGUGAAGAAGGUUUUCGGAUCGUAAAGCUCUGUUGUAAGUCAAGAACGGGUGUGAGAGUGGAAAGUUCACACUGUGACGGUAGCUUACCAGAAAGGGACGGCUAACUACGUGCCAGCAGCCGCGGUAAUACGUAGGUCCCGAGCGUUGUCCGGAUUUAUUGGGCGUAAAGCGAGCGCAGGCGGUUUGAUAAGUCUGAAGUUAAAGGCUGUGGCUCAACCAUAGUUCGCUUUGGAAACUGUCAAACUUGAGUGCAGAAGGGGAGAGUGGAAUUCCAUGUGUAGCGGUGAAAUGCGUAGAUAUAUGGAGGAACACCGGUGGCGAAAGCGGCUCUCUGGUCUGUAACUGACGCUGAGGCUCGAAAGCGUGGGGAGCGAACAGGAUUAGAUACCCUGGUAGUCCACGCCGUAAACGAUGAGUGCUAGGUGUUGGAUCCUUUCCGGGAUUCAGUGCCGCAGCUAACGCAUUAAGCACUCCGCCUGGGGAGUACGACCGCAAGGUUGAAACUCAAAGGAAUUGACGGGGGCCCGCACAAGCGGUGGAGCAUGUGGUUUAAUUCGAAGCAACGCGAAGAACCUUACCAGGUCUUGACAUCCCGAUGCUAUUUCUAGAGAUAGAAAGUUACUUCGGUACAUCGGUGACAGGUGGUGCAUGGUUGUCGUCAGCUCGUGUCGUGAGAUGUUGGGUUAAGUCCCGCAACGAGCGCAACCCCUAUUGUUAGUUGCCAUCAUUCAGUUGGGCACUCUAGCGAGACUGCCGGUAAUAAACCGGAGGAAGGUGGGGAUGACGUCAAAUCAUCAUGCCCCUUAUGACCUGGGCUACACACGUGCUACAAUGGUUGGUACAACGAGUUGCGAGUCGGUGACGGCGAGCUAAUCUCUUAAAGCCAAUCUCAGUUCGGAUUGUAGGCUGCAACUCGCCUACAUGAAGUCGGAAUCGCUAGUAAUCGCGGAUCAGCACGCCGCGGUGAAUACGUUCCCGGGCCUUGUACACACCGCCCGUCACACCACGAGAGUUUGUAACACCCGAAGUCGGUGAGGUAACCUUUUGGAGCCAGCCGCCUAAGGUGGGACAGAUGAUUGGGGUGAAGUCGUAACAAGGUA